ensembl:misc_RNA Metazoa_SRP Metazoan signal recognition particle RNA
GCUGGGUGUGGUGGCUCAUGCCUGUAAUCCCAGCAAUUUGGGAGGCUGAGGUGGGAGGAUCACUUGAGUUCAGGAGUUCAAGACCAGCCUGGGCAACAUAGUGAGACCCCAUCUCUA